rnacentral:tRNA from 1 species
GGGCCUGUGGCGGAAUCGGCAGACGCAGCGGACUUAAAAUCCGCUUCCCGGCAACGGGAGUGAGGGUUCGAGUCCCUCCGGGCCCA